AGUGGGGAAUUUUCCGCAAUGGGCGAAAGCCUGACGGAGCAAUGCCGCGUGGAGGUGGAAGGCCUACGGGUCGUCAACUUCUUUUCUCGGAGAAGAAACAAUGACGGUAUCUGAGGAAUAAGCAUCGGCUAACUCUGUGCCAGCAGCCGCGGUAAUAUAGAGGAUGCAAGCGUUAU
rnacentral:rRNA from 1 species